CUGUUCAGGUCCCUGCUUGCUUGGACUGCCUCUGUGAUGCUUGUUAUGUGAGGUCAGGAGAGCAAAGGCUGAAGCCACAGGAAGCAGAUUGCGGAGUUCCUGCUGUGCGGAGCCAGGGAGGGUGUGGCGCCCAGCUGAGCAACCUGGACUCACCCCUGCGUGGCAAAAGGCUUAUCCAUGGCCUAUGCCCAUUCUUUCGUCAGGUUCCGGAACCGUAAGGUCCCACUGCGUAAACGGGGAAACUGAGGCACCGUGCAGAUUCGGCAGCACUUGCCAGAACCCCAGGCAGAGCCAAGACGCACGCAUCUGUUUUCCCUAGGUGUUUUGUUCCCUGGAGAGGCCGAGCGGGGACCUUGCAAGCCUGGAGGAAUCCACCCACGGAGAGUUGCCGAGCACCCACAAAGCCGCACACCUGCUCUGGUGGGCGGGCGACCCCACCCUCGGAAAGCUCCGGACUGGGAGCUGAACAAUCCGAGGUGUCUACAAGUUCCACUGCGGGGACGAGCGCCUGAGUCACUGGAGGUGCUCGCAGCCCCCUCGGUGGCUCCUCCCACCCAGGCCCUGGCCCCGCCUCCUCCCGGCUGCAUCCUUCCCGGACCUCAUCCAGGCAGCCUUCUGCAGCGCCACAGCCAGUGAGGACGCUUCUCGGCAGAGCGAGAGAGGAGGGGCAUUGGAACAGGGAGCGGUGAGGGCUGAGUCCUGGGAGGCUGCUGCCGAGAGGACUCCGUUCCCUACUGUCCCGUGGGACCGCAAGCCACGCCUCCCGUCGACGUGCCCCGUGGCGCGUGCAGCCUGCCUGUGCUGGGCGGCAUGGGUUCUUCCGGAACGUUUCCAGCUCCGCAGGCUGGCCUCUCCGGGCACAAGAAGCCAAACCGUCAGAGCUGGCAGGCCAUGGAAGCACCUUCCCUCCACCUGUCACCCAGCCCCUUCCGAAAACGGUUCCACAGUAGGACACACUUUGGGUGUUCGUGGGCAGUCGCUACGUGAGUGAGGAAGAAUGAUGUCAGAAGGAAGUGUCUGCAGAGAUCGAAGGGGCUGUGACUUUCUGCAGGAACGGCCGCCAGCUGCCCGGGAGCUUGCGUAGAACAAAAACGCCCGUCCCUUCAUCACCUGCCCUUGCCCUUGAAAACACAGAAGGGAAUGGUGGCAGGAUUUACGGGAGCAAUGAAAGGCCAGCCCCACCCUUGGCCUCUUCUCAUGACUCAUGUGUCCAGGCAUUCACAGUAAGACAAUUCAACUCAACCAGGACACUGGCAGGAACGGAGAGGGUCACAAGACCCUCCCCUGAGAAUCGGCUGCCCCUUCCCACUGUGUGUGCGACACUGCCUUACUUGCGUGUGGCUUCAGGGAAGGACUGCAUUACACAGGUCUGAGAGGAGCAGGAAGGGAGGCUCCUUCUACGAAGCGAUGGGGAAGCCACCAUCCCUGGCAGCAACCCAAUAGAAGGAAGCAGAAAGCAAUUAAGAAAAACCGAAGCCAGCAGCAUCGCACAUCGACAAGGAGGAUGGACAUGAGCACGCUGUAUGGAGUCUACGGGACCACCUGGGGGCAAUGGAGAGUUGUCCGGGGGCUGUGAAAAUGCGCCUCUGUGGCUCAGCGACCCACCAGUUCCCUGGAGAAGCAUGCUGAGGUAAGAGGCGCCCUGUGUGCAGAGAAGACAGGACCAGAGGAUUCGUGUCUGCCCCACUGGGCUCCUGGGGAGGAUGGAGUGAGGGAUGCCGCUGACCUGCCCUUUAUAUGGUGUUCUAUUUCAUGUUCACUUUAAGACUGUUUCUCUCUAUCACACAGAUAGUGAAAGCUAAAUUUUAAACUAAAGAACAGAGAGCUGAGCCCUCACGACAGAAGAAAUUUAAGACAAUGUAGGCAAGUCCUGUCACCACCACUGUGGUCAGUGUCAGAUUUAAAGGCACCUGUCUGUGGACCAUAACUAGCCAUGUUCGUCCUGCUCUGUCCUGUGGUGGUGGGUGAGGGGUAGGCAGAGAGGACAGAGAGUUUGGGGUGAAUGGAAUAACUUCUUCAGGAAAAGCAAGGGGGAGAAGCUUUCCUGUGUUAGCCUUCUUGCAGAGACGACGUUUCUCAUUUGCCGGUGCUGCGCUGACCAUCCAUCCGUCCACACAAAGCGGUCAGAGAGCCAGCACCAACCUGAGCAAGAUCAAAGGGACCGGCCCCAGUCCUGGGGGAGGGGCCUUCUCACAGAGAAAAGAAGGUGAGAGAAGCUGACUGGUCUGAAAAUUGUUCUUUAAUGGUUUGAUUUCACCCUCCUCUUGUUACCUGGUAACACACAUCUUCCUGUAAAUCUCCAGCUCCAGCUUCAUGCAGCUUGGCAGCUCAAUUUCCUCCCAGCCUCCUGGUGACACAACAGGUCCUGCGGUCACCUAUCUAAGGAAGGCACACAGGGGCCUUUAAGACUGCAGCCCAGGUCUCACCACCCUUCUCUGGGGAAGAUUUUCAGCCCUGGGAGGGUGGCUUUGUUUCUCCUGUCACCCCUGCCUACUGUCACCCCAGCUCGGAGGCCAUUCUGGAAUUGAUUGCUCCUGCUUUGGGUGGAGGUUAGCUAUCUCUGAAACAAUUGACCACUCAGUCAAGGAGACUUCCCUGAAAUGACAGUGAUCUUGGAUGUGCACAGCAUAAAGGAACAAUAAUCAUAA